GGAAAAAAAGUGACGUCUGCAUUGAGGUGGCAGCUAAAAUGCGAAUCACGACGGGCGGUGGCCGUUGGGUCCCGGCGGGAGGCGGGGUUUCCGCUCCCUGGGGCGCACGUCAGUCAGGAGGCGGAAGCGCAGCGGGGGCGGGAAGGUUGUAGUGCUGCGAGUUGAGCUCCUUUUGCCUAAGUGGUCGCGCCCCCUUUAAGAGCAGCUACUGGGAAUCGAGGCGGUCCUGGCGUCCUAGCGUCCCAGAUGAUUGUGAAGUGCUGACCAACUGCCACUGGACAUAAUUGAAACAAAAUAGGAAAAUGGCAGCAAACUCUUCAGGACAAGGCUGGAGUGCAAUGGCGUGAUCUCGGCUCACUGCAACCUCU